rnacentral:lncRNA from 7 species
GGGGUUGCAUGGUUCGUUUGAGCAAAUUUGCAUUGCCAAACUUGAGAUACUCUACACACGGCACUUGCUAGUAAAAAUGAACUGCGAAAGAACUUUUGCGUGUAAAAAACAGAAACGCAUCAACACCCCAAGACUAUGUUUAUACGGAGCAUUGCCAACCAGCUCUCUAAAUUAGUCCAUUUAUUUAUACACUAUUUUUAUUUCUACUAGUUCCACUUGUUGCCCAGUUGUACAUGUAGAUUCAGAACACCGCAAAAAUGCUUUCAAAAGUAAAAAAAGACUCAAACCAUCUCCGAUUGACCUUAAAUUUGCCAAAGGGAUUCCCUAGGAUAAAUAGAAGCUAUUCCCAAAAUAUCUUUCCUAGCAUACCAUCUUCUUUGGUCGUUUCUGGUGCUAGCAUACCUUCUAGUUAACAUAUCAUGUUACUUAUUGCAAUUAUCACUUGUCUUGCAGACAGGCAAUUGAAAAAGAGAAUUGAUCUUUUUUAUAGGCGAAGUGUUGAAGAUGGCUUUGGUGACGGAAAUGUCUUGUUAGCAUCAAGUAAGUGGCGACAUCACAACCCCUACAAGCUUGUGCCUUAAAACAAGAGGAUACAAGAAGUUGGAGUGCUUUUAUGAAGGCUUUUGCGAAUCACUUGAAGCGUUAGUACUUUUGUGAAUGAUUUUGUAAAGUGUUUGCAAAUAUGUGCAAAACAUAAUAACAUGUGUAGGUUUUGUGAAUGAUUUUGUUGUGGUGCUUGUUGAUGGUUUAUGUGAUGUGGAUCUAUCAUUAUGCAAUACUAAUUAAAUUUGUAUAUCUAUGUGAUUAUGUGUAUAAAAAUUGGUGAUUUGUGAUGCUUUUGUAUAUGUAACAGUUGUUGAAUGCUCAUUAAUGGUAUAUUAUCAUUAUUAACG